rnacentral:rRNA from 1 species
UACGUAGGGGCCGAGCGUUGUCCGGAGUUAUUGGGCGUAAAGCGCGCGCAGGCGGCCUCGCGCGCCCGACGUGAAAGCCCCCGGCUUAACCGGGGAGGGUCGUUGGGGACGGCGGGGCUUGAGGGCGGGAGAGGUCGGUGGAAUUCCCGGUGUAGUGGUGAAAUGCGUAGAUAUGCGGAGGAACACCGAUGGCGAAGGCAAUCCCCUGGGCCUGCACUGACGCUCAUGCACGAAAGCGUGGGGAGCAAACAGG